CCCGGGGACUCGAUCCCCCUGAAGGGUCGUGGAAGACCACCACGUUGAUAGGCUGGGUGUGGAAGUGCAGUAAUGCAUUAAGCUAACCAGUACUAAUUGCCCGUGCGGCUUGACCCU
rnacentral:ncRNA from 1 species